GACGAACGCUGGCGGCGUGCUUAACACAUGCAAGUCGAACGGAAAGGCCCUGCUUUUGUGGGGUGCUCGAGUGGCGAACGGGUGAGUAACACGUGAGUAACCUGCCCUUGUCUUUGGGAUAACUUCUGGAAACUGGGGCUAAUACCCGAUAUGAGCUCCUGCUGCAUGGUGGGGGUUGGAAAGUUUCGGCGGUUGGGGAUGGACUCGCGGGUUAUCAGCUUGUUGGGGUGGUAGUGGCUUACCAAGGGUUUGACGGGUAGCCGACCUGAGAGGGUUAACGGAAACAUGGGGACUGAGAGAGGGCCCAGACGCCAACGGGAGGCAGAAGGGGAGAGUAUGACAGAGUGGGGGGAAGCCAGAGACAGAAACGCCGGGUGCGGAAAAACGGGUUACGGGUGAUAAACCGAUGUCGACGGUAACAAGGCGGGAGUGACGGUAAUGAAUAAAGAAGCAACGGCUAACUACGUG
rnacentral:rRNA from 1 species